rnacentral:sRNA from 12 species
GGAUAAUCCCAGGUGACUGGGGAAAGGUCGGGUCAGGCUGGUUGGCCCGGCUCCUCUGAAGUUGGAUCGAAAGGUAUGAUGAGGAGGCAGAAUUCACCAGUUCCUCUGGCGGUGUUCGCACACCGUCAAAUGCGAAUGAGGGACUUGGCGGCGAGGGGCGAUGAGAAGCCGCUCCGAGCCGGGUCAAGUAGUUCAGGCCGGUUUCGAGCCUGGGCGAAUCGCAGUUACCCAGAGGGUAUCCGGUUGCUACUGCGCAUCAGCACGGACGGGCGACUCUGGCGGUCACGCAAAAAACGGGAUCAGCCAAAAGAAAGACGCCGAAAGGCGGGACAAAAUGAGCGUUCGCACCGGGAAGGACACGACGGCUCGACAGGCUGCGUGAAAACCUUCCAAGCGUCGGCGAUGUUAAAAACGACACCGCUGGGCUGUGAGCAAAAGGCAACCUGAGAGUGAAGAGGCGAGACCCGUGGUAUCGGGCGAACGCACCGUCAAAAGCGGUGGCUGACCCGGUGCUAAGUGGUGAAGACGCGAAGAUCAAAUCACAGAUGUGUCUUCAUCUGGUUUGCAAGCUGGUGGCGCAACCAUCAGUUCAAGCAGGCUGAAAAGCCUCACUCGAAAUCCAGCGGCCGCAAGGCACUGGACGGCCCUGCCACGAGGCCGAAGACUCCGCUUGCCGUGGAGAAUGGCGUCGGGAAGCUGACAGCCCCCGAAAGGGGCGUGCCUAAUGUCGGCAUGGGAAAGAGAGCUUGGCGCACUCC